rnacentral:misc_RNA from 1 species
AAGUCGUAACAAGGUUUCCGUAGGUGAACCUGCGGAAGGAUCAUUAUCACGUAUCCACGUAUAAACCAAUGUGAACCGUUUGCCCUUUGGGGGAAAUGAGGUAGUGGGAAUGUAAGCAAUUUUAAAGGAGCUCUUUCUGUUGAGAUUUAUGGCUCUGGCUUCAUUCUCCAACGGUCUCUCUCGGGAGACUGUUACUCGUUUUCUUCAAAGUGUAUUUCAUAAAUCGCAACAACCCAUUAACCAUUGAAACCCACCUUUAAACUUUUGACUAAACUGUUUCUUACUCUUCGGAGAAGAAAUUUUUUACGAAACAUAAGAACAACUCUUAGCAACGGAUAUCUUGGCUCCUAUAACGAUGAAGAACGCAGC